UGAUGGAGGGACGCAGUUUGGUAGGUCAGCCCCUUAUUGGAUUGGGGUGCUAAACGUCUAGGAUAAUGAUGGGCAUAGGAAAAUCCGUACCCUGAAUCUGAAGCGUGAUGGCGGUGCCUAUAGAGCCAGAAGUGAUUGAGCCAAGCUGCCAAGAAAAUCUUCUAAACGUUGAUAUUUAAGUGACCGUACCGCAAACCGACACUGGUAGGUGGGUAGAGUAUACCAAGGGGAUCGAGAGAACCUUCGUUAAGGAAUUCGGCAAAAUUCCCCCGUAACCUCGGGAGAAGGGGGGCCUCUGCUGGUUAGCAAUUAAGCGAAGCUGGUGGGGGCCGCAGAGAAAUGGCUUCUUCAACUGUUUAACAAAAACACAGGUCUCUGCUAAGUCGAAAGACGAUGUAUAGGGGCUGACGCCUGCCCAGUGCUGGAAGGUUAAGGGGAGAGGUUAGCGUAAGCGAAGCUUUGAACCGAAGCCCCAGUGAACGGCGGCCGUAACUAUAACGGUCCUAAGGUAGCGAAAUUCCUUGUCGGGUAAGUUCCGACCCGCACGAAUGGCGUAAUGAGAGAAGCACUGUCUCAACGAAGGACUCGGCGAACAUUGAAGUACGUGUAAAGAUGCGCGUUACCCGCAGCUGGACAAAAAGACCCCGUGAAGCUUUACUACAGCUUGGCACUGAGUUAGGGCUUAGUUUGUGUAGGAUAGGUGGGAGGCUUUGAAGCUGGGACGCUAGUCUCGGUGGAGCCACCGUUGAAAUACCACCCUGGCUAAGUUUUGGCUCUAACCUGCAACCGUUACCCGGUGUGGGAACAGUGCCUGGUGGGUAGUUUGACUGGGGCGGUCGCCUCCGAAAGAGUAACAGAGGCGCCCAAAGGUUCGCUCAGGCUGAAUGGAAACCAGCCGUAGAGUGUAAAGGCACAAGCGAGCUUGACUGCAAGACAUACGAGUCGCGCAGGGACGAAAGUCGGGCUUAGUGAUCCCACGAUUCCGAGUGGAAGGGUCGUGGCUUACCGGAUAAAAGCUACUCCGGGGAUAACAGGCUAGUCUGGUCCAAGAGUUCACAUCGACGACCAGGCUCGGCACCUCGAUGUCGGCUCAUCGCAUCCUGGGGCUGGAUAAGGUCCCAAGGGUUGGGCUGUUCGCCCAUUAAAGCGGUACGUGAGCUGGGUUCAGACCGUCGUGAGACAGGUCGGUCCCUAUCCGCUGUGGGCGUAAGGGAUUUGAGAGGAGCUGCCCCUAGUACGAGAGGACCGGGGUGGACAGACCUCUAGUGUGCCAGUUGUCGUGCCAACGGCAUUGCUGGGUAGCUACGUCUGGCAGGGAUAACCGCUGAAAGCAUCUAAGCGGGA
rnacentral:rRNA from 1 species